AAGAGGGGAAAAUCCUGGCACUUGGCCCCAGGGCAUUAGGCGCUCCUGACCUCAGGCUCUCCUGAGAAGGGCUUUGCCUUGGGGUCUCACAAAGAAAACUUCCCUAAGGGGAACGGGGACGUUCACCGUAGGGGUGCAGAGCUCUCACUGCGUGAGACACACAGCACACGCCCUCACGCCCACCUCCCUGCACAACCCAGGUCGAGAUCUCUCUUGAGAAUCUGACAAUGAGGUGCGUACGGAGUGCUUCGCACCGUGCCCCCGCACCCUACACUGAUGGUCCCAGAGGGACUUCAGGCAGACAAGCAUCUGGGCGUUGCGCUGUGAAGGACACACCUUCACCUGCUGCCACGCAGAGCCCAACAAGGGCUCGUUCAGGGACAGCACGUGCUUAGAAUAAAAA